rnacentral:lncRNA from 1 species
GAUGCUCAUGAUAAAAAAACCAAAGAAAAGAGAAAAAUAGGAUAUAAAAUCCAAACAAAAUAUUUACAGGAACUCAAACCUCUAACAAGUCAUAGGCAUAUCCUUGCUCAAGCCAAAAGAUCAAGGCAGCACCAAAACAGAAAGAAAGGUUGAAACUAGCUCACAAACAAGUCUAAAACAACCUUUGAACAAAAUAAAUUUGAACAAGGCACAAAAAUAGAAGCAAAAAAUCUACAAAAAUAAUAAACAUCAACUUAACAUCUUACAAAAGCUAGAAAA